GAGAAUAUUGCCUCCCAGUCUUCUGACAAAUCAUUUCAUGCUUCUGUGCAUAGUUCACACAGGACUCCUGAGGUCAAUUUCAUGUUGCACAUCAAUUUGACAAUGUCUCUUAAGGUUGUCAUACCUUUUGAGCUCAGGCUAAUGAGUGAUCCACUAUCAGGCUUUUGCUUUGAGCUGCUGAUGCUUGAAAACAUCUGUUUAAGAAUGUUUCUAAUUUUUUUUUCCCUUAUGUCCUUGAAACUCGUGGUGUAACCUGUUAUGCCACAAGAAUGUCACUCUUAAAAACGUCUUUAGAGAAAUGGACUUUUGUUUUUCUAUGACACAUUCCUG